AAGUCGUAACAAGGUAUCCGUAGGUGAACCUGCGGAUGGAUCAUUAACGUUCUUUGAGAAAAGUAAAAUCUAUAUUAUAAUAAUAUAAUAAUAACAUAGUAGCAAUAUUAUGUUUUAUUAUAUUCAUUAUUUAUAUAUUUUUCUUUCUAUCUCAAAUAAUUAUAAUAACACCCUUGUGGUGAAUAUAGGUAAAUGUUUUGACGAGUAAUAUAUGAUAAAGAUAGUGUAGCAAUACGCUAGUGUUAUUAUUAUUACAAGUUGAAAACAGAUUAAUUAUAUAUAAACGCAUUGUUUAAAUUUUAUUAAUAACUAAAGUUUACCUUGUGAAUGAUAAUGGUACAUUAGUAUUAUUAUUUAUUACCAAGUAAAACAAUUAAUAAAUCUAAUACAACUGCUAGCAACGGAUCACUCGGCUCUC
rnacentral:misc_RNA from 1 species